GGUUGGGCAAACGCUGUGCAUUCAGCCGUUUGUUUUCAAGACCUAAAGCUUAAGGGUGGAAGCU
rnacentral:ncRNA from 12 species